rnacentral:rRNA from 1 species
AGUGAACGCUGGCGGUAGGCCUAACACAUGCAAGUCGAACGGCAGCACAGUAAGAGCUUGCUCUUACGGGUGGCGAGUGGCGGGCGGGUGAGGAAUACAUCGGAAUCUACUUUUUCGUGGGGGAUAACGUAGGGAAACUUACGCUAAUACCGCAUACGACCUACGGGUUAAAGCAGGGGAUCUUCGGACCUUGCGCGUUUGAAUGAGCCGAUGUCGGAUUAGCUAGUUGGCGGGGUAAAGGCCCACCAAGGCGACGAUCCGUAGCUGGUCUGAGAGGAUGAUCAGCCACACUGGAACUGAGACACGGUCCAGACUCCUACGGGAGGCAGCAGUGGGGAAUAUUGGACAAUGGGCGCAAGCCUGAUCCAGCCAUACCGCGUGGGUGAAGAAGGCCUUCGGGUUGUAAAGCCCUUUUGUUGGGAAAGAAAAGCAGCAGGUUAAUACCCCGCUGUUCUGACGGUACCCAAAGAAUAAGCACCGGCUAACUUCGUG